UCCCUGGUGGUCUAGCGGCUAAGACUCUGCACUCCCAAUAUAGGGGCUCAGGUUCAAUCCCUGGUCAGGGAA
rnacentral:tRNA from 1 species